UACGGAGGGUGCAAGCGUUAUCCGGAUUUACUGGGUUUAAAGGGUGCGUAGGUGGGUCUGUAAGUCAGUGGUGAAAUCUUCAAGCUUAACUUGGAAACUGCCAUUGAUACUAUUUGUCUUGAAUACUGUGGAGGUCAGCGGAAUAUGUCAUGUAGCGGUGAAAUGCUUAGAUAUGACAUAGAACACCAAUUGCGAAGGCAGCUGGCUACACAAAUAUUGACACUGAGGCACGAAAGCGUGGGGAUCAAACAGG
rnacentral:rRNA from 1 species